CAAUAAAGCCAAUCCAAGAGUCGUCUAAAUCACUCACUCUUUGCAACAACAUCACCCUCUUCCUUUGUUCUUGCAACUUUUCUUGGAUGUUUUGAUUCGUUCUCUACAGUAGUAAAGAUGGUCAUGAACAAUCUCCUUCGAUCUGCUCUCAAAACCCAGUUCGGUUCGUACACCAAAAGUGUUACUGCUUCUGGAAGUUCACAGAAACAUUUACUUCAGGCUCCUUUCCUGGCCAAAUUUUAUUGUACAGAGGCAUCUUUGCAAAAGGAAGAUUCAACUGCUGAUUCCCAGGGUGUUGGAGGUUAUAAGGGGCAUGAUAUGCUGGCACCUUUCACUGCUGGGUGGCAGAGUACUGACGUGAAUCCUCUAGUCAUAGAGAAGUCUGAGGGUAGCUAUGUUUAUGACAUUAAUGGGAAGAAGUAUCUCGAUACUCUUGCUGGUCUUUGGUGCACUGCCUUGGGAGGAAAUGAACCGAAGCUUGUGGCUGCUGCGACGGCACAAUUGAAUAAGUUGCCAUUUUACCACUCCUUUUGGAAUCGUACUACAAAACCUUCUUUGGAUCUUGCAAAGGACCUUCUAGAAACUUUUACAGCAACUAAAAUGGCAAAAGCCUUCUUUACAAAUAGUGGAUCAGAAGCAAACGACACUCAGGUGAAGCUAGUUUGGUACUACAACAAUGCUCUUGGAAGACCAGAUAAGAAAAAGUUUAUAGCUCGCACAAAAUCGUACCAUGGUUCAACUUUGAUAGCAGCCAGUCUUUCUGGCCUGCCAGCAUUGCACCAAAAAUUUGAUCUUCCAGCUCCAUUUGUAUUGCACACUGACUGCCCUCAUUACUGGCGCUAUCAUCUUCCAGGUGAGACAGAGAAGGAAUUCGCAACCAGAUUAGCCAACAAUUUGGAGAACCUCAUCCUGAAAGAAGGACCUGAGACGAUUGCUGCAUUUAUUGCUGAGCC
rnacentral:misc_RNA from 1 species